ACGAACGCUAGCGGUGUGGCUUAGGCAUGCAAGUCGUGCGCGAAAGUCUUCGGACGAGUAAAGCGGGCAGAAAGGGUGAGUAACACGUAACCAAUCUACCCCUGAGACUGGAAUACCACUGGAAACGGUGGGUAAUGCCAGAUGGUCCAGCUGAAAGGCAUCUCUUGGCUGGUAAACGGUGGCGCAAGCUGCUGCUCGGGGAGGAGGUUGCGGACUAUCAGCUAGUUGGUUGAAGUAACGGCCCACCAGGCUAUGACGGUUACGGGUCUGAGAGGACGGUCCGGCACACUGGGACUGAGACACUGCCCAGACUCCUACGGGAGGCUGCAGUCGAGAAUCUUCCGCAAUGGGCGAAAGCCUGACGGAGCGACACCGCGUGCAGGAUGAAGGCCUUCGGGUUGUAAACUGCUGUCAGGUUCUAGGAACGACAGAGUGUGAAUAGCGCUCUGUUUGACCAAGACCAAAGGAAGCAACGGCUAACUCUGUGCCAGCAGCCGCGGUAAGACAGAGGUUGCAAGCGUUGUUCGAAUUACUGGGCAUAAAGCGCACGUAGCGGUCCGCUAAGUUCAUGUGUGAAAUCCCCCGGCUCAACGGGGAGGAAUGGCGCCUGUACUGGCGGACUUGAGAUCGGUAGGGGUGAGUGGAACUCCAGGUGGAGCGGUGAAAUGCGUAGAUAUCUGGAGGAACACGGGUGGCGAAAAAGCGACCUCACUGGACCGACCCUGACGCUGAGGUGCGAAGCUAGGGGUAGCAAACGGGAUUAGAUACCCCCGGUAGCCCUAGCCGUAAACGAUGGGCACUGGGCAGGGGGGAUUCCUAUGUCUUCUCUGCCGUAGCUAAUGUGUUAAGUGCCCCGCCUGGGGAGUACGCUCGCAAGGGUAAAACUCAAAGAAAUUGACGGGGGCUCACACAAGCGGUGGAGCAAUGUGGUUUAAUUCGAAGCAACGCGAAGAACCUUACCUGGCCUCUGACAUGCAGGGAUUAAUCCUAUGAAAGUAGGAUGACAGCUCUUCGGAGUCGGAGCCUGCACAGGUGUUGCAUGGCUGUCGUCAGCUCGUGUCGUGAGAUGUUGGGUUAAGUCCCCGUAACGAGCGAAACCCUUAUCAUUAGUUGCCACAGGGUAAUGCCGGGAACUCUAGUGAGACUGCCGUUGUUAAGACGGAGGAAGGUGGGGACGACGUCAAGUCAUCAUGGCCCUUAUGGCCAGGGCGACACACGUGCUACAAUGGUCUGUACAAAGGGUCCGAGACCGCGAGGUGGAGGCAAUCUGAAAGCAGGCACCCAGUUCGGAUUGAAGGCUGCAAUUCGCCUUCAUGAAGCCGGAUAUCGCUAGUAAUCGCGCAUCAGCCAUGGCGCGGUGAAUAUGUUCCUGAGCCUUGUACACACCGCCCCGUCAAGCCAGCUGAAAGCGGGGAGUGCUCGAAGUCGUUUUGCCUAACCGAAAGGGAGGCGGCGCCUAAAGCAAGCUUCGGUGAUUGGGACU
rnacentral:rRNA from 1 species